CCUACGGGAGGCAGCAGUAGGGAAUAUUGCUCAAUGGGGGAAACCCUGAAGCAGCAACGCCGCGUGGGGGAUGAAGGUUUUCGGAUUGUAAACUCCUUUUGUUAGAGAAGAUAAUGACGGUAUCUAACGAAUAAGCACCGGCUAACUACGUGCCAGCAGCCGCGGUAAUACGGAGGGUGCAAGCGUUACUCGGAAUCACUGGGCGUAAAGAGCGCGUAGGCGGGAUAGCAAGUCAGAUGUGAAAUCCUAUGGCUUAACCAUAGAACUGCAUUUGAAACUGUUAUUCUAGAGUAUGGGAGAGGUAGGUGGAAUUCUUGGUGUAGGGGUAAAAUGCGUAGAGAUCAAGAGGAAUACUCAUUGCGAAGGCGACCUGCUAGAACGUAACUGACGCUGAUGCGCGAAAGCGUGGGGAGCAAACAGGAUUAGAUACCCUAGUAGUC
rnacentral:rRNA from 1 species